rnacentral:pre_miRNA from 1 species
AGGAGCAACAGCCCCAGGGGCGGGGCCAGCUCUGCAGCCCUGGAUUCAGCUCCGGCAGGAACUCCGGAGCUCUCCGUCUGCAGGGCCUGGAGGCUCCAGGGCGGG